rnacentral:lncRNA from 1 species
CCCCUUUCCCCGCCCCCAACUCCGCAGCGCCUUGGGUCCACCGUUAGGGCGUCACCAAGGUCUGCUCUGGUGUGAACCUGGGUGCCAGGACCUGCCUGCCAUCCGAGGGAGUCCAGGGAAUGGGCGGCCCUGGAGGUUAAUCUGGCCCCUGCCAACUCCCGAAUUGGCUCGAUUUCUUUCAUUCUGGUGCCGAAACCCAGGAAGGUACAGCUGAGAUUAGUGACCAUCCGCCGCUGGUGGGGGUUGGUUGGUCCCUUGGCCAUCCUUCCUGAACCCUGUUGGAUGAGCACCCGACCAGGCGCCUUCACCUUUGCCACUGCUGACACCUCGCAUCCACACCAGUCCCCGAUUCCUGGGAGCUGUCACUAUACUCUGCAUGAUUCUGCUUUUUGGACCGUGCCUGUUCCGUUGUUUUCAAAAGUUCUUACAGGAACGCAUGAGAGCCUUCACAAACCAGACAGACUGUGAGCUCGUCAUGGCCAGAUACCAGCCCCUCGCCACUGAUACAAGCUCGCGAUACCGGGACCUCACUGUGGCCAUCUAAAGACCCCACCCAACAAAGCCCCUUUGCCGGCAAGAAGUAGCUACAGAAGAAGAGACCCUCGCCCCUAUUCCAUAAUAACAAGAGACUGGAAUGUGAGACAAUAUGGCCAGAGGGAGGUCUGUUACUCAAAAUGGCACCCACUUCUCCUAAAUGGGUCGUUUCCUCUCUCAGAAAAUGGAAAUGAACUCGCCAACCUGCCUCUCUACUCAUUGUCCAAUAAGUUUAAACUCUGUCACUUGCCUCAGCCAUACAACCAAUCCUCAACCCCCACAAUGCUCUCCUGUCACACAACCCUUUAUAAACCUCACCUAGUUAGACUCUCGCUCAUUCUCCAUUGUUCGAGACAGCCUGGCAGCUUCUUCCCACAAUAAAGCCCUGCCUCAGGUG